rnacentral:rRNA from 1 species
AGUGAACGCUGGCGGUAGGCCUAACACAUGCAAGUCGAACGGCAGCACAGUAAGAGCUUGCUCUUACGGGUGGCGAGUGGCGGACGGGUGAGGAAUACAUCGGAAUCUACUUUUUCGUGGGGGAUAACGUAGGGAAACUUACGCUAAUACCGCAUACGACCUACGGGUGAAAGCAGGGGAUCUUCGGACCUUGCGCGAUUGAAUGAGCCGAUGUCGGAUUAGCUAGUUGGCGGGGUAAAGGCCCACCAAGGCGACGAUCCGUAGCUGGUCUGAGAGGAUGAUCAGCCACACUGGAACUGAGACACGGUCCAGACUCCUACGGGAGGCAGAGGUGGGGAAUAUUGGACAAUGGGCGAAAGCCUGAUCCAGCCAUACCGCGUGGGUGAAGAAGGCCUUCGGGUUGUAAAGCCCUUUUGUUGGGAAAGAAAAGCAGCAGGUUAAUACCCCGCUGUUCUGACGGUACCCAAAGAAUAAGCACCGGCAAACUUCGU